UCUCACUGUGAGCAAUGAGCAGUGUUAAUAUAAACUAAAUCUAAUUUUGGCCUGCACAAGGUUUCUGUACCCAGAUUAACCAGGGCUGUGAAAAUCUCCAUUUUUGGCACUGCUGGCACAAUCCCAGGGCAUUACACUCACCCAGAUAUAAAAGUCCUUUAUCACACAGUAGCACUUCCCACACAGGAAUAAGCUCUUCCAGAACAUAUGGGAGAUGCCAAACAGGAGCUGGGGGUAAACAGGCAGCCAUAGAGCACACAGAGGUGGAACUUCACUAGGACUAAGGACAUUUCAUGUGCAUCACUGAGGCAGGAUGUGAGCUGCAGAAAUCAUGG